UAACAAGUCCAUUUGUAGUUGUAAUCUAUAAAUUAUAGAACACAGUUACAUUGUACUUGUUAUUUGCUUUGCAUUAGUAGUGAAUUUAUUAUUUCAAUAAUAAAUAUUUGCAAUAUUUGUUGAUUUUACUUGUGAUUUUUUAUUAUAUUUGCUUUUGUUUUACAGUUAGACUAGAUAUUCUUCUACAACUAAUUUAACUAAGUAUCUUGGAGUAGGAAAAGAUUGGUUGGAAACUGAAGUUCCUACACUGAGAGAUGUACUAAGGAAAGGUCUACUUAUUUAGAAAAGAUUGUUUCUUUCUGAUGAUCUUGAUAGAAAGUAAUUAUAAUGAGGAUUGUUUUGACCGUAAUGAAUUACGUUCGUUUGUCAAGAGAUUUCUCAAUCGUCAAUGAAUAAAUCAAAAAGUCGACCAAGUUCUCUCUGCUUAAACUAACGAAAAAAAUAUUUCAAUAAUAGAUUUUGCAACUUCAAAGACUGGACAGUUUUCAUAUAAUAGAGUAGAGAGGGGAAAAGUGGGACAGCCUGAAAUUUCUAAUUAGGAGUGGUGCCUAGAUACUGUUAUUUAAUGUAAAUAAUUAAAUUAAAUCCCCUCUAUUUAUCAGAAA